CACUAAAUUGCAUAAAACUCAAUUGAGAAUAACAAUGCCCAGUUACAUGAUUUUAGUUCAUGUCUAUAAAUUAUACUCAUUCAUAACACACAGCAAGUAUCGGUAUCCUGAAUUAUUCUUUGAAAUGUAAAAAUGAACUCAUAAGCAUAAUUAAGGAAAGCAAACCAACGCAAACUAAACCCCAGCUUUUCUUUUUAAAUGCAAUUGUGAUAUUUUGUACACCAAUGAACGAAUUGUUACAGCGAAAGAAACCAAAUCAACAAUGUCUAAGCCUUAGGUUAUAUUCAAUGACACAUCCCAUUCGAAAUACAUUUAUUCCGCCGGUUCAACAUAGUGGUGGAUUCUUUGAAGAAUCCUUUGGGUUACUGAUAUGAUGGAUAAAAUAUAAUCUCAGGAAUAGAGUCGUGGGUGUCUUGCACCAACCGGAUAUAAAUGAUAGAUGGAACAUGGCGUUCCAAGCAGGUGUGAGGUUGAUCGAUGAAGGACAAGCUUUUGUUGUAAUUGUACAUUAUGCCGCAGACCUAAUGUCUUAUCUAGGCUCUCGGAUGCUGUAAAGGAACUUGGGCCUGGAGAAUCAUCACAUGUACGUACCUCUUCCUUUUUCACUAAUUUAUCUCCAGUAAUAUUGUAGAUAUGUUCUUAAAAAGUUGAAAUACAUGUUGUUUUCUCUCUGAUUUUCAUAGUCCAGUUUCAAAUCAUAUCUUAUCUUGACUUUAUCCAAUUGUACAUUCAUUAUUCGAGAAAUUUUCGGAUGUGGUAAAGGACAUACAGAAGCUAUGAUGACGAAGCUAGCUACAAGAAAAAGUGGUGUUAGUUUAGGUUGAUUGAAGUUGGCAUGGAAAACCAAGAUUCUUUUCGGAUUUUCCUGUUUACGUUUGAAAUUGAACAUGCAUGCCGCUAAUGUAGUUGGCAUUUUAAUGCAACCACUACCAAGGUACUAUUAGAAAAUGGUUGGAGCUAUCUUUCCUGCCUUCUGUGUGCCAAAAACAUUGUUGGUGACCUUCUUGAAGUGUGCAUCAGAUGUUGAAAUGCUCAUUCCAAGGUAGACGCGCCCUGCACUUUAGCUUUCUUUACCCGACUAUCUUCAUCCAUCCAUUCAUUUGACAUUUCAGUCAAGUCCUUUUUACAGCAAAGGUUUCUACUCCAUUUUAAAGUUGAAGACAUCACCGGCUCGGCAUCUUCGUAGCUCCUGAUAGUGAGGUCUAGAAAUAUGCAGGUAAGUGGUAACCCAACUUUUCUUAUCUUCCCUGAUUACCUUUUGAAUUCCAGCCUGUCGUGUCUCAACCAGCAUACGGUAACCUCACUUCAGCAAUCCACAAUUUCGAAGGAUAUUGCCAAAGAGGCGGUGAUGACAGAAUUCUCGCAGAUCCUCAAUAACACUGGAUUUCAUGAUAAACAACCAGGAGGCCGAAAUAUGGACUGACUGUGGAUUUUAUAAAUGAUUCGCUUCUUACCGACGAUGACUACCAACCAACAAAAACAGGUAAAACUAAGGACAGUACCAAUGGCAAAGCUAUCUUCUUCACAAAUGCUACGGGCUCUACCAAAUUUGUUACUUACGAAGGAAACAAAAGAAAGUUUUAUAUAUCUCUCAGAUAUUUGCGCUCUAUUGAAAGUAGGUCGAGAGAAAUAUUUCUGUUGUAUAGUAUUCCAUGAAGAUUGAAAACUUCAUUAUCUAAUUCAAGGCAUAUAUCUUCAAGUUUUGGAAGC